rnacentral:rRNA from 1 species
AUUGAACGCUGGCGGCAGGCCUAACACAUGCAAGUCGAACGCUCCGCAAGGAGAGUGGCAGACGGGUGAGUAACACGUGGGAAUCUUCCUAUCGGUACGGAAUAGCUCAGGGAAACUUGAGGUAAUACCGCAUACGCCCUUCGGGGGAAAGAUUUAUCGCCGAUAGAUGAGCCCGCGUCUGAUUAGCUAGUUGGUGGGGUAAUGGCCUACCAAGGCGACGAUCAGUAGCUGGUCUGAGAGGAUGACCAGCCACACUGGGACUGAGACACGGCCCAGACUCCUACGGGAGGCAGCAGUGGGGAAUAUUGGACAAUGGGCGCAAGCCUGAUCCAGCCAUGCCGCGUGAGUGACGAAGGUCUUCGGAUUGUAAAGCUCUUUUGCCAGGGACGAUAAUGACGGUACCUGGAGAAUAAGCCCCGGCUAACUUCGUGCCAGCCGCCGCCGUAAGAC